CCUACGGGUGGCAGCAGUGGGGAAUAUUGCGCAAUGGGCGAAAGCCUGACGCAGCGACGCCGCGUGAGGGAUGAAGGUCUUCGGAUCGUAAACCUCUGUCAGCAGGGAAGAACGGUCACUGUGCUAAUCAGCAGUGAAUUGACGGUACCUGCAAAGGAAGCACCGGCUAACUCCGUGCCAGCAGCCGCGGUAAUACGGAGGGUGCGAGCGUUAAUCGGAAUUACUGGGCGUAAAGCGCUCGUAGGCGGGAGGUCAAGUCAAGGGUGAAAGCCCCGGGCUCAACGUGGGAAUUGCCUUUGAAACUGGCAAACUGGAGUGUGUGAGAGGAUAGUGGAAUGCCAGGUGUAGGAGUGAAAUCCGUAGAUAUCUGGAGGAACAUCAGUGGCGAAGGCGACUAUCUGGCACAUAACUGACGCUGAGGAGCGAAAGCGUGGGUAGCAAACAGGAUUAGAUACCCCUGUAGUC
rnacentral:rRNA from 1 species